CGGAAGGCUAGGUGGUAGGAGGAAGCAGACGACACAAUGGCAGAAGAAACCCUCGGUGCAUUCGCCAUAGCGAAGAUCGCCCUAGCAGGCGCCUCGGCGGGGUUUGCCUUGGGGGACGCGGCGCUGAUGGCGGUGGACCCUGGCCUGAUCGCCAACGGCCCUCUGGGCAGCGCCACGGGCCUGGCCAUGGUGGCGGACAAGGUGGGCUCCACGGGCGUGGCCGGCGUGAUGGCGAGCCUCGUGUUCGCCGCCACCUUCUUCUCCCUGGGCUCCGGCUUCAACCUCGCCUCCCUGCUGAUGUCCAUCCUGGCGCGGUGCGGCGCGCCGCACGACGGCCGUCUGACGGACGGCGCGGCCGGAGCCUUCACCGCCGUGGGGGCGGUGGCGGCCGGCUUACUGGGCGGCCUGGCCCCGGCGUGGUGCCUCCUGGGGGCCGGGUGCGUGCUGGUGCUGUCGACGUACGUCCGGACGGACGUGAACGAGACGGCCACCGCCCUGCUGGUCAUCUACGUCACGCUGCACGCCAACGCCGUGCUGGGCCGCAUGGGCGUCCUGCUGGGGCUGUUCGCCACGGCCAUGAGCCUGUCGCUGAGCGUGGUGGUCGUGGCCUUUCUGGGCUUCCCCAUCGGCCUGGGCAUCGGCGGGAAACCCGUGGUUGAAGCGGGCGCCGAUGGAGCGGCGGCGGCGGCGGGCGGGGAGGCGGAGGUGGCGUUGCUGCUGGAGGCGGUGUUCUGGGUGGGGGUCCUAUUCGCCCCCCUGCUGGGCGCCUCCCUGGGCACCAUGGGCGCCGUGGGCCUGGGGACCGAGGGCGCGGCCCGCACGGCCAUGGCGGCGGCGGCGGCGUCCUGCCUCGCCCUGGGCGUGGUCCUCCCGGCCUGCACGGGGGCCGGGUCCCGCAGCUGCCUGGGGGGGAUCCUGGGGGCGGCGGCGGCCACGGGGCUGGCCCUGGCGGCGUCCCGCGUGGCGUUGAAGGCGGAGCACCGGGCCACCAACGUGGUCCACGGCGCCGUGGUCGCCGGGGUGAUGCUGGGCGUGGGGUACGCGUCGUGGUCGUCGGCGGCGCCGUGGUACCAGCUCCUGGCGUCGGCCCUCACCGUGUCCCUCGUCGCCACCAUGGCGUUCUUCUGCGGGGCCCCCAGGAGCCCCUUUAACCUGCAGUACGGGCCGGGCACGGGCGCAGACCUGAUGAGGCAGCUCGGCAAGGAGACGGUUUCCACGGGAGCGGCGCCGUUCGGGGCCGGGGCCCUCGGGGCCGCCGCGCUGGGCACGGCGGCCCUCGGGAGCCUGGGGGCGGUGGGCGUGGCCAUCGCCGUCGCGCUGGCGCUCGGAAAGACUCUGAAGAGCAUGGCGGAGCAGCCGGUGAAGGCUGCGGCGGCCACGCACGACGACUGAGGGACGGGCGGACGGUUGGGCUGUUGGGACUGGAACGAACCAAUAGGUCUGAGAAUGAGGGGGAUACCACGCACUUGUUAAACGCACGGUCUCACUCACACACACAAUAUUUGUGUUUGAUUGUUUGUUUGUCUUUGUGGCGAUGCAUGUACACGCUUUUAAGCAUUAAAUUGUUUUCAAAUAAAAUUAUUAUUGUUGUUAUUCUUCACGUGAGAAUAAAC
ensembl:lncRNA